rnacentral:rRNA from 1 species
AUUGAACGCUGGCGGCAGGCCUAACACAUGCAAGUCGAACGGUAACAGGAAGCAGCUUGCUGCUUCGCUGACGAGUGGCGGACGGGUGAGUAAUGUCUGGGAAGCUGCCUGAUGGAGGGGGAUAACUACUGGAAACGGUAGCUAAUACCGCAUAAUGUCGCAAGACCAAAGAGGGGGACCUUCGGGCCUCUUGCCAUCGGAUGUGCCCAGAUGGGAUUAGCUUGUUGGUGGGGUAACGGCUCACCAAGGCGACGAUCCCUAGCUGGUCUGAGAGGAUGACCAGCCACACUGGAACUGAGACACGGUCCAGACUCCUACGGGAGGCAGCAGUGGGGAAUAUUGCACAAUGGGCGCAAGCCUGAUGCAGACAUGCCGCGUGUAUGAAGAAGGCCUUCGGGUUGUAAAGUACUUUCAGCGGGGAGGAAGGGAGUAAAGUUAAUACCUUGGCUAAUUGACGUUACCCGCAGAAGAAGCACCGGCUAACUCCGUG